GGGUGUGGCUCCCCUGCUCUUUGAUGACUGGGCAUAGUCUUCAUUGGCAAUUGCUCCUUCCACUCUGCUAAAGCAUGGAAGGUGGAACUCCCUAAUUAGCUUAGGCCCUCUGCUCUUUAGUCAUAAAUAACCUCCACACUCAGCUACCAAAAAGGCAGGUAGAAGAUGGUCAAAACAAAAGUCUUUCCUGCCAUUAUUUCUGCAGGGAGAUUGCAGUAUUCUGUUUGAUAUUACUAUCUAACUUAGGGUUAGCCAUUCCCAAGAUCCUUUCUGGCUUAGCAUGCGAAUGAAUUUGAGCUAGAACAGAAGGUAAGAGGGGCACAGCGUGGAGAGAAUGAACAACAGAGCCAUGGCCACAGAGGGAUUUGGAUCAGGGGAAAGGCUGACUGAGAGAUAAGGGGUGGUGCACUGGACAAUCCAACAGCCAGUGCAAUGCUGCUGAGAGAAGAGGCCAUCCAUGCUCCAAAAGGCUCAACCAAGCUUCUACAUGAGUGUCGAGACAGGCUUCAGGAGACAGGCACCCUCGGGUGAUCACCCUGGGACAGCUCAAGGAUGGUAGUUGUCCCAUGAAGGCAGCCCAGAACAGGAGAUAGAUAGAGGGAAUAGGAUGGAAUGUCAUCUUUCUUCAAACUCCCAAAAGUCAGGAAGAGUCCAGGUAGAAGACUUCCACAUGAUGAAAUGACUUCUCUCUGCCUUUUGUGAGCAGGAAGAGUCUUCUGAAAGCAAGAAAAGGACUGCUCCAGGACUUCUCCUUUGGACUUCUUUGGAGAACUGCUCCUUGGGACUUCUGGUUUGAAGAGAUUCCUGCCUUGGUGGCUCUGCAAGGAGACCCUCUCUGCUUGUUGGCAAACUGGUGGGAUACUUCCUUCAGCAUGAGUUCUAUGGAGAGAUUCUUGUCCUUU
rnacentral:lncRNA from 1 species